rnacentral:rRNA from 1 species
AAAUCCGGUACUCUUAAGGUCAAGUUGUGAUGGGGAGAGGAAAUUUUUUCCUCGAGUCGUUGAUUUCACACUGCCAAGAAAAGCCUCUAGCUAGCAUUUUGGUGCCCGUACCGCAAACCGACACAGGUAGUCAAGAUGAGAAUUCUAAGGUGAGCGAGCGAACUCUCGUUAAGGAACUCGGCAAAAUGACCCCGUAACUUCGGGAGAAGGGGUGCUCUUUAG